rnacentral:rRNA from 1 species
CGUAGGGCGCAAGCGUUAUCCGGAAUUAUUGGGCGUAAAGAGCUCGUAGGCGGUUUGUCGCGUCUGCCGUGAAAGUCCGGGGCUCAACUCCGGAUCUGCGGUGGGUACGGGCAGACUAGAGUGAUGUAGGGGAGACUGGAAUUCCUGGUGUAGCGGUGAAAUGCGCAGAUAUCAGGAGGAACACCGAUGGCGAAGGCAGGUCUCUGGGCAUUAACUGACGCUGAGGAGCGAAAGCAUGGGGAGCGAACAGGAUUAGAUACCCUGGUAAUCCAUGCCGUAAACGUUGGGCACUAGGUGUGGGGGACAUUCCACGUUUUCCGCGCCGUAGCUAACGCACUAAGUGCCCCGCCUGGGGAGUACGGCCGCAAGGCUA